rnacentral:rRNA from 1 species
GAUGAACGCUGGCGGCGUGCCUAAUACAUGCAAGUCGAGCGAACGGACGAGAAGCUUGCUUCUCUGAUGUUAGCGGCGGACGGGUGAGUAACACGUGGAUAACCUACCUAUAAGACUGGGAUAACUUCGGGAAACCGGAGCUAAUACCGGAUGAUAUUUUGAACCGCAUGGUUCAAAAGUGAAAGACGGUCUUGCUGUCACUUAUAGAUGGAUCCGCGCUGCAUUAGCUAGUUGGUAAGGUAACGGCUUACCAAGGCAACGAUGCAUAGCCGACCUGAGAGGGUGAUCGGCCACACUGGAACUGAGACACGAUCCAGACUCCUACGGGAGGCAGCAGUAGGGAAUCUUCCGCAAUGGGCGAAAGCAUGACGGAGCAACGCCGCGUGAGUGAUGAAGGUCAUCGGAUCGUAAAACUCUGUUAUUAGGGAAGAACAUAUGUGUAAGUAACUGUGCACAUCUUGACGGUACCUAAUCAGAAAGCCACGGCUAACUACGUG